UUUCCGGGUUAGGAUAGGCUCCCAGCAGCCUAUGCUGGUUGUACCGUGGGGUUUCCGGGUUAGGAUAGGCCCCAGGCAGCCUAUGCUGGUUGUACCGUGGGGUUUCCGGGUUAGGAUAGGCCCCCAGCAGUCAAUGCUGGUUGUACCGUGGGGUUUCCCGGUUAGGAUAGGCCCCCAGCAGUCAAUGCUGGUUGUACUGUGGGGUUUCCCGGUUAGGAUAGGUCCCCAGCAGCCUAUGCUGGUUGUACCGUGGGGUUUCCGGGUUAGGACAGGCCCCCAGCAGCCUAUGCUGGCAUGUUAUUUGUAGGUACUUGGGGACAAGUAAGUGACUUUGUGGGCUCUUGCUUGGGGUCUCGCUUUAUUGUGUCAUCACAACCAAGUGGUGCCAAAUGUUGGCUCAUAUUAUAUCAAAUACUGACUAGUCCUACCCUGACAAAACACAAAGAAACAAUAACAGCACUUAAUGUAUCAAAAAAGAUAAUAUAUUGCUUUCAGGUAUAGUAUGGAAUCUUUUAAUUACCCCCUCACAUGUAGCAUUAGGUGAGAUUUCCUAGUUCCUCUGCAAGGUUAUGGAGAAGUGUUACAUGUGACAGACCCAUGGGACUGGUAGGGAAAGACAAACUGUACAGGUUAUAGGUCAUUAUUUACACAUUCAACGUGUUAAGUAGUAGUUUCGCUAAGGCAGGAAAUUGUUUAAAAUUCAUAGUUGAGUGUAGUACCUGCGUCAUAUUUUGGCAGGAAAUAAAGCUGUUACAGGUUGAGUUGCUGUGUAUUUCAAUAUCUCUAACUGUGUAUUGAAAAAAUCUUACUGAUGUUUUAUUUCAUGAAUGACAAUUAUUACUUAUUUAUUAAGUUGCUUUGUUGAUAUUUAUUAUAUUUUCACCAUAUUGUCUUUUGUUGCCUUAUGAAGAUAUAUGUUGAAGAAAUGUUAUAACAUUAUAGAUAUUGUCUGGUCCACGAUACACAUGUUCAUCCUGUGCUACACUACUGGUUAUUCCUUGGAUGUUGUAGAAUAUCAUGAAUACAUUACACAUCAGUUUAGAUUUCCUCAUACAUUUUCUGGGAUCGGGUGGUCAGGCUCGCUGACUUGGUUGACACAUCAUCAUAUCCCAUUUGUGUAGAUCGAAGCUCAUCCUGUCGAUCACUCGAUUGUCUGGUCCAGACUCGAUUAUUUACAGACUGCCGCCAUAUAGCUGGAAUAUUGCUCAUUGUGGUGUAAAACUAAACUCAUUCACUCAUACAUUUUCACUGCUGUUUACUGUUUAAAUGAGUGCAUUUAGUGAAAUUUAUAUUCAGUCAAAAUAAUGACUACUCAAUGAUCAUGCUGGCCAUGUGGUACAGGUGUUCCUAUUGGCUGUGUUAGGGUUCUCAGUAGUGACGGAUCAGAUGGACCUGGGUUCAAAUCCCAGAUAGCUAUCUCUAUUAUCUUUGAUUUAUCUGUACUAUA